CCUAAGCGCUUUACAUAAAUGACUACAUUUAAUUUCCACGGUAACCCUCUGAGGGAGAUAUCACAAACUCCCCUAUCACACUAAUGAAGAAACUGAGCUCUGAGAGAUUAAAUCUCCUGUCCAGCCCCACCCAGCCAGUGAGCAGUGGAGUGGGAAGGAUCUUCGUGUUUCUGCCCUCCAAGCUGGCCUAAGCCCUGCAUGAGUAGUUACCCUGUGCUCUACACUAUAUUCACUGAUUUUAUGCUUCAUUCACUGAUUUUGAUCACUUGCUUUUGUUUUGAACAGAUACAGGUGAUGGUGCACAGAAGAAGAUUCAUUCAUGCACUCAUUCAUUCAUUCGUUCAUUCUUCAUCAGAUGUGACCCAAGCCUGGGCUUGCUGCCAAGCUCACCGGAAACUCAGUGAAGGUGGAGGAGAACAUUAGCCGCUUGUGCAUAGAGUACAGGUGGCUCUUCUGUACAACCUUGACCCCUGUGACCUUGGCCAAGGUCUUUGGAGCCUGAGCACCUUCAUCAAUAAAAUUGGAAAAUAGCACUGCCACGUCCUUGGGCUUAUGACCAUAUGAUGUGAGGCUCCAAAGCCCGGGUGCAGAGCAGGAUGUACAACAGGAUGUCGUCAACCAGUGAACAACAGUCAAAGGUGAAGAUGGAGGAGGAAUUCUGUCAUUCUUGGGGUUGCUUUCAGUGUGGGGUGAUUAUAAGCUUUUAAAAAUUUG